CUGCAUUUCCAUCUGAGAUAUACUAAGGAGCUUUUGCAAGUCAAUGUGCAAAAAGACACUACAAUGAGUGGAGAAUCAACAGUGCUCUCAGAACUUUGCUCUCAGAAAACUUAAGUUACCAGGCACUAAGUGGCUACUCAAAAUGUGGUUUGUGGACCAGAAGCAUCACAUCUCCUGGGAACUAGGUAGGCCUAAUGGAAUCAAGAGGGCCCUUUAGAGUGGAAGAGGGAAUUUGAAGAAAGAACCAGAGACAUGUCAGCAUGAGAAGGACUCAGCCUAAUCUUGCUGCCUUUGAAGUUGGAGGAAGGGGUCUAUGAAGCUGGAAAAGGUGAGGAAACAGAUUUUCCCCCAGGGCCUCCAGGAAGAAAUGCACCUGCUGGCACCUUGAUCUUAGCCAAGUAACCUCUACGUCAGACUUCUGACCUAUAAAACUGUAAAAUAAUAAAUGUGUGUUGUUUUAAGU
rnacentral:lncRNA from 10 species